UACGUAGGUGGCAAGCGUUGUCCGGAUUUACUGGGCGUAAAGAGCGCGCAGGCGGUCGUUCAAGUCGCGUGUGAAAGCCCCCGGCUCAACUGGGGAGGGUCACGCGAUACUGAUCGACUCGAAGGCAGGAGAGGGUAGUGGAAUUCCCGGUGUAGUGGUGAAAUGCGUAGAUAUCUGGAGGAACACCGGUGGCGAAGGCGGCGUUCUGGACUGCAACUGACACUGAUAAACGAAAGCCAGGGUAGCAAACGGG
rnacentral:rRNA from 1 species